rnacentral:rRNA from 1 species
AUGUUCCUACCCAAUGAAACUAUAUUUUAUACUGUUGGUUUGGCGGCAGUAACUUGGGCUAUUUGGCUUGCGCGUAAUAAGGCUACUUUUGAAAAACAAUUGAUCAAUUCUCCUUUUGAGAUUGUGUAUUCGGCUUGUUCGUUUCUCUUGUAUUGGGCAGGUCUUCAGCCGGUGAAAGAAGUGGCAAGAUUGCGACUCGGAGCUGAGAUGAUUAGAGCGAGCAUAACCAAGUUGAUGGCAAUGUGUGAAGGGGCCAGGCGCGCAACGGGAGACGAGGGUGAGGUGUUCUCUGGAUGA